rnacentral:rRNA from 1 species
CGUUUGGCACCUCGAUGUCGGCUCAUCACAUCCUGGAGCUGUAGGCGGUUCCAAGGGUUGGACUGUUCGUCCAUUAAAGUGGUACGCGAGCUGGGUUUAAAACGUCGUGAGACAGUUUGGUCCCUAUCUACCGUGAGGUUUGAGAAUUGCGAGUGAUUCCCUACUUAGUACGAGAGGACUGGUGUUUGUGACUAUAAAACGUAGUCUUUUGCGGUGCAGUUAUCAAAAACGGUUAAGGGGUAUACCUAUGGUGGUCCGGUUGUUAGGCAAAUAGCAGCGCCGGUUAGCUACGUAUAAGAAUUAAUAAUUGCUGAAUACAUCAAUGCAAGAAGUAAUCCUCAAUAUACAUUCUCAAAAAACUGUAAAACGUUAUUACGUAUAUAGGUAAAAUGUGUUAGCUUUGAAAGAAGUAGAGCUGUUUUAUACUAAAAGUUUUUUUUAAAAAGAA